rnacentral:sRNA from 1 species
CGUUGCAUAUGAGAGUGAAAGAAAAAUAAAUACACCAAAAGAUCAAAAGAAAAGGGAAAUUAGGGAAUUGUCUCAAGGAAUUUUCAAAUAAUAAUAAUGAUAAUGGAAAGUGAAAAAAAAAAAAAAAAACCCCACAUAGAUAUGCUAGUAGAAACCAGGUAAUUAAAAAGAAAGAAAUUUUAAAACUAUCUAUACAUCUCUAAAUCUAUCCAGCCUCACUGACAGUGCUAACAGAAGCUGAGCAAACAAACAUAAAAUGAUUAGUGAUGGAAAAAAAGACAGAAGAGCAGAGAAGAGAAUAAAAUGAACAAGGAAUAUAAUAAUGAUAAGAAUAAAGAAAAUUCUAAAAUCAUUUCAAGAGUGAGCUAUAUUACAUCAAAAACAAGCAAAAGGCUAGAAAG